AUUGAACGCUGGCGGCAUGCCUUACACAUGCAAGUCGAACGGCAGCACGGGAGCAAUCCUGGUGGCGAGUGGCGAACGGGUGAGUAAUAUAUCGGAACGUGCCCAGUCGUGGGGGAUAACGUAGCGAAAGCUACGCUAAUACCGCAUACGAUCUAUGGAUGAAAGCGGGGGAUCGCAAGACCUCGCGCGAUUGGAGCGGCCGAUAUCAGAUGAGGUAGUUGGUGGGGUAAAGGCGCACCAAGCCGACGAUCUGUAGCUGGUCUGAGAGGACGACCGGCCACACUGGGACUGAGACACGGCCCAGACUCCUACGGGAGGCAGCAGUGGGGAAUUUUGGACAAUGGGCGCAAGCCUGAUCCAGCAAUGCCGCGUGCAGGAUGAAGGCCUUCGGGUUGUAAACUGCUUUUGUACGGAGCGAAAAGGCUCUCUCUAAUACAGGGGGCUCAUGACGGUACCGUAAGAAUAAGCACCGGCUAACUACGUGCCAGCCGCCGCCGUAA
rnacentral:rRNA from 1 species